rnacentral:rRNA from 1 species
CGGGUCGGGUUGUCAUGCCAAUGGCACUGCCCGGUAGCUAAAUGCGGAAGAGAUAAGUGCUGAAAGCAUCUAAGCACGAAACUUGCCCCGAGAUGAGUUCUCCCUGAGACUUAAAGUCUCCUGAAGGAACGUUGAAGACGACGACGUUGAUAGGCCGGGUGUGUAAGCGCAGCGAUGCGUUGAGCUAACCGGUACUAAUGAACCGUGAGGCUUAACCUU